rnacentral:rRNA from 1 species
AGUGAACGCUGGCGGUAGGCCUAACACAUGCAAGUCGAACGGCAGCACAGUAAGAGCUUGCUCUUACGGGUGGCGAGUGGCGGACGGGUGAGGAAUACAUCGGAAUCUACUUUUUCGUGGGGGAUAACGUAGGGAAACUUACGCUAAUACCUCAUACGACCUACGGGUGAAAGCAGGGGAUCUUCGUACCUUGCGCGAUUGAAUGAGCCGAUGUCGGAUUAGCUAGUUGGCGGGGUAAAGGCCCACCAAGGCGACGAUCCGUAGCUGGUCUGAGAGGAUGAUCAGCCACACUGGAACUGAGACACGGUCCAGACUCCGAAGGGAGGCAGCAGUGGGGAAUAUUGGACAAUGGGCGCAAGCCUGAUCAAGCCAUACCGCGUGGGUGAAGAAGGCCUUCGGGUUGUAAAGCCCUUUUGUUGGGAAAGAAAAGCAGCAGGUUAAUACCCCGCUGUUCUGACGGUACCCAAAGAAUAAGCAACGGCUAACUUCGUG